GACGAACGCUGGCGGCGCGCUUAACACAUGCAAGUCGAGCGAGAACCAGUCCUUCGGGACUGGGGAAAGCGGCGAACGGGUGAGUAACACGUGGGUAAUCUGCCCUCGGCACUGGGAUAGCCCGGGGAAACCCGGAUUAAUACCGGAUAGCCUUUCGAGCCUUCGGGCCCGUCAGAAAAGGUGGCUUCGGCUUCCGGCUGAGGAUGAGCCCGCGGCGGAUUAGCUUGUUGGUGGGGUAAUGGCCUACCAAGGCGACGAUCCGUAGCUGGUCUGAGAGGACGAUCAGCCACACUGGGACUGAGACACGGCCCAGACUCCUACGGGAGGCAGCAGUGGGGAAUCUUGCGCAAUGGGCGAAAGCCUGACGCAGCGACGCCGCGUGCGGGAAGAAGGCCUUCGGGUUGUAAACCGCUUUCAGGAGGGACGAAGCCACUCGGGUUAAUAGCCCAGAGGGUGACGGUACCUCCAGAAGAAGCCCCGGCUAACUACGUGCCAGCAGCCGCGGUCA
rnacentral:rRNA from 1 species